GAUGAACGCUGGCGGCGUGCCUAAUACAUGCAAGUCGAGCGAACGAACGAGAAGCUUGCUUUUCUGAUGUUAGCGGCGGACGGGUGAGUAACACGUGGAUAACCUACCUAUAAGACUGGGAUAACUUCGGGAAACCGGAGCUAAUACCGGAUAAUAUUUUGAACCGCAUGGUUCAAAAGUGGAAGACGGUCUUGCUGUCACUUAUAGAUGGAUCCGCGCUGCAUUAGCUAGUUGGUAAGGUAACGGCUUACCAAGGCAACGAUGCAUAGCCGACCUGAGAGGGUGAUCGGCCACACUGGAACUGAGACACGGUCCAGACUCCUACGGGAGGCAGCAGUAGGGAAUCUUCCGCAAAGGGCGAAAGCCUGACGGAGCAACGCCGCGUGAGUGAUGAAGGUCUUCGGAUCGUAAAACUCUGUUAUUAGGGAAGAACAUAUGUGUAAGUAACUGUGCACAUCUUGACGGUACCUAAUCAGAAAGCCACGGCUAUCUACGUG
rnacentral:rRNA from 1 species